rnacentral:rRNA from 1 species
GGUUAAGCGACUAAGCGUACACGGUGGAUGCCCUGGCAGUCAGAGGCGAUGAAGGACGUGCUAAUCUGCGAAAAGCGUCGGUAAGGUGAUAUGAACCGUUAUAACCGGCGAUGUCCGAAUGGGGAAACCCAGUGCAAUUCGUUGCACUAUCGUUAACUGAAUACAUAGGUUAACGAGGCGAACCGGGGGAACUGAAACAUCUAAGUACCCCGAGGAAAAGAAAUCAACCGAGAUUCCCCCAGUAGCGGCGAGCGAACGGGGAGCAGCCCAGAGUCUGAAUCAGCUUGUGUGUUAGUGGAACGGUCUGGAAAGUCCGACGGUACAGGGUGAUAGUCCCGUACACCAAAAUGCACAGGCUGUGAACUCGAAGAGUAGGGCGGGACACGUGGUAUCCUGUCUGAAUAUGGGGGGACCAUCCUCCAAGGCUAAAUACUCCUGACUGACCGAUAGUGAACCAGUACCGUGAGGGAAAGGCGAAAAGAACCCCGGCGAGGGGAGUGAAAAAGAACCUGAAACCGUGUACGUACAAGCAGUGGGAGCACCUUCGGGUGUGACUGCGUACCUUUUGUAUAAUGGGUCAGCGACUUAUAUUCUGUAGCAAGGUUAACCGUAUAGGGGAGCCGCAGGGAAACCGAGUCUUAACUGGGCGUUAAGUUGCAGGGUAUAGACCCGAAACCCGGUGAUCUAGCCAUGGGCAGGUUGAAGGUUGGGUAACACUAACUGGAGGACCGAACCGACUAAUGUUGAAAAAUUAGCGGAUGACUUGUGGCUGGGGGUGAAAGGCCAAUCAAACCGGGAGAUAGCUGGUUCUCCCCGAAAGCUAUUUAGGUAGCGCCUCGUGAACUCAUCUUCGGGGGUAGAGCACUGUUUCGGCUAGGGGGUCAUCCCGACUUACCAACCCGAUGCAAACUACGAAUACCGAAGAAUGUUAUCACGGGAGACACACGGCGGGUGCUAACGUCCGUCGUGAAGAGGGAAACAACCCAGACCGCCAGCUAAGGUCCCAAAGUCAUGGUUAAGUGGGAAACGAUGUGGGAAGGCACAGACAGCCAGGAUGUUGGCUUAGAAGCAGCCAUCAUUUAAAGAAAGCGUAAUAGCUCACUGGUCGAGUCGGCCUGCGCGGAAGAUGUAACGGGGCUAAACCAUGCACCGAAGCUGCGGCAGCGACACUAUGUGUUGUUGGGUAGGGGAGCGUUCUGUAAGCCUGCGAAGGUGUGCUGUGAGGCAUGCUGGAGGUAUCAGAAGUGCGAAUGCUGACAUAAGUAACGAUAAAGCGGGUGAAAAGCCCGCUCGCCGGAAGACCAAGGGUUCCUGUCCAACGUUAAUCGGGGCAGGGUGAGUCGACCCCUAAGGCGAGGCCGAAAGGCGUAGUCGAUGGGAAACAGGUUAAUAUUCCUGUACUUGGUGUUACUGCGAAGGGGGGACGGAGAAGGCUAUGUUAGCCGGGCGACGGUUGUCCCGGUUUAAGCAUGUAGGCUGAUUAUCCAGGCAAAUCCGGAUAAUCAAGGCUGAGGUGUGAUGACGAGGCACUACGGUGCUGAAGUAACAAAUGCCCUGCUUCCAGGAAAAGCCUCUAAGCAUCAGGUAACAUCAAAUCGUACCCCAAACCGACACAGGUGGUCAGGUAGAGAAUACCAAGGCGCUUGAGAGAACUCGGGUGAAGGAACUAGGCAAAAUGGUGCCGUAACUUCGGGAGAAGGCACGCUGGUGUGUAGGUGAAGUCCCUGCGGAUGGAGCUGAGACCAGUCGAAGAUACCAGCUGGCUGCAACUGUUUAUUAAAAACACAGCACUGUGCAAACACGAAAGUGGACGUAUACGGUGUGACGCCUGCCCGGUGCCGGAAGGUUAAUUGAUGGGGUUAUCCGUAAGGAGAAGCUCUUGAUCGAAGCCCCGGUAAACGGCGGCCGUAACUAUAACGGUCCUAAGGUAGCGAAAUUCCUUGUCGGGUAAGUUCCGACCUGCACGAAUGGCGUAAUGAUGGCCAGGCUGUCUCCACCCGAGACUCAGUGAAAUUGAACUCGCUGUGAAGAUGCAGUGUACCCGCGGCAAGACGGAAAGACCCCGUGAACCUUUACUAUAGCUUGACACUGAACAUUGAGCCUUGAUGUGUAGGAUAGGUGGGAGGCUUUGAAGCGUGGACGCCAGUCUGCGUGGAGCCAACCUUGAAAUACCACCCUUUAAUGUUUGAUGUUCUAACGUUGGCCCCUGACCGGGGUUGCGGACAGUGUCUGGUGGGUAGUUUGACUGGGGCGGUCUCCUCCCAAAGCGUAACGGAGGAGCACGAAGGUUAGCUAAUCCUGGUCGGACAUCAGGAGGUUAGUGCAAUGGCAUAAGCUAGCUUGACUGCGAGCGUGACGGCGCGAGCAGGUGCGAAAGCAGGUCAUAGUGAUCCGGUGGUUCUGAAUGGAAGGGCCAUCGCUCAACGGAUAAAAGGUACUCCGGGGAUAACAGGCUGAUACCGCCCAAGAGUUCAUAUCGACGGCGGUGUUUGGCACCUCGAUGUCGGCUCAUCACAUCCUGGGGCUGAAGUAGGUCCCAAGGGUAUGGCUGUUCGCCAUUUAAAGUGGUACGCGAGCUGGGUUUAGAACGUCGUGAGACAGUUCGGUCCCUAUCUGCCGUGGGCGCUGGAGAAUUGAGGGGGGCUGCUCCUAGUACGAGAGGACCGGAGUGGACGCAUCACUGGUGUUCGGGUUGUCAUGCCAAUGGCACUGCCCGGUAGCUAAAUGCGGAAGAGAUAAGUGCUGAAAGCAUCUAAGCACGAAACUUGCCCCGAGAUGAGUUCUCCCUGAGACUUUAAGUCUCCUGAAGGAACGUUGAAGACGACGACGUUGAUAGGCCGGGUGUGUAAGCGCAGCGAUGCGUUGAGCUAACCGGUACUAAUGAACCGUGAGGCUUAACCUU